UACGUAGGGGGCUAGCGUUGUUCGGAAUUACUGGGCGUAAAGGGCUCGUAGGCGGCCAACUAAGUCAGACGUGAAAUCCCUCGGCUUAACCGGGGAACUGCGUCUGAUACUGGAUGGCUAGAGGUUGGGAGAGGGAUGCGGAAUUCCAGGUGUAGCGGUGAAAUGCGUAGAUAUCUGGAGGAACACCGGUGGCGAAGGCGGCAUCCUGGACCAAUUCUGACGCUGAGGAGCGAAAGCCAGGGGAGCAAACGGG
rnacentral:rRNA from 1 species